UUCUGCCAUUUUGAGGUUUCCUGGUACCUGAGCUAGGUAGGAAUCAACCCCUUUUGCUAUCAUUCCUAGGCCACCUAUGAUAACAGGUAUCGUUUUAGUGUUCAGGUUCCACAUUUUGCUAAUUUCUAUUUCAAGAUCUUUAUACUUGCUCAGUUUUUGGUAGGUCUUCACAGAUACAUUUAAGCCGAUUGGGACACUCAUAUCAUUGAGGACGCAUUAUUUUAUAGAUGUUUCUCAAUAUGAU